GACGAACGCUGGCGGCGUGCUUAACACAUGCAAGUCGAACGGAAAGGCCCUGCUUUUGUGGGGUGCUCGAGUGGCGAACGGGUGAGUAACACGUGAGUAACCUGCCCUUGACUUUGGGAUAACUUCAGGAAACUGGGGCUAAUACCGGAUAGGAGCUCCUGCUGCAUGGUGGGGGUGGGAAAGUUUCGGCGGUUGGGGAUGGACUCGCGGCCUAUCAGCUUGUUGGUGGGGUAGUGGAUUACCAGGGCUUUGACGGGUAGCCGGCCUGAGAGGGUGACCGGCCACAUUGGGACUGAGAUACGGCCCAGACUCCUACGGGAGGCAGCAGUGGGGAAUAUUGCACAAUGGGCGGAAGCCUGAUGCAGCAACGCCGCGUGCGGGAUGACGGCCUUCGGGUUGUAAACCGCUUUCGCCUGUGACGAAGCGUGAGUGACGGUAAUGGGUAAAGAAGCACCGGCUAACUACGUG
rnacentral:rRNA from 1 species